GGAGGCGUGCCGGAGCGGACGAACGGGACCGCCUCGAAAGCGGUUAGGGGCUUGACCGCCCCUCACAGGUUCGAAUCCUGUCGCCUCCG
rnacentral:tRNA from 1 species